rnacentral:rRNA from 1 species
AGCGAACGCUGGCGGCAGGCCUAACACAUGCAAGUCGAGCGCCCGUAGCAAUACGGGAGCGGCAGACGGGUGAGUAACGCGUGGGAACGUGCCCUUUAGUUCGGAAUAACUCAGGGAAACUUGAGCUAAUACCGAAUACGCCCUUCGGGGGAAAGAUUUAUCGCUAAAGGAUCGGCCCGCGUAAGAUUAGCUAGUUGGUGAGGUAACGGCUCACCAAGGCUAUGAUCUUUAGCUGUUCUGAGAGGAAGAUCAGCCACACUGGGACUGAGACACGGCCCAGACUCCUACGGGAGGCAGCAGUGGGGAAUAUUGGACAAUGGGCGCAAGCCUGAUCCAGCCAUGCCGCGUGAGUGAUGAAGGCCUUAGGGUUGUAAAGCUCUUUUACCAGGGAAGAUAAUGACGGUACCUGGAGAAUAAGCCCCGGCUAACUUCGUGCCAGCCGCCGCCGUAAAAC